CUACGGAGGGGGUUAGCGUUGUUCGGAAUCACUGGGCGUAAAGGACGCGUAGGCGGAUUGGAAAGUCAGAUGUGAAAUCCUACAGCUUAACUGUAGAACUGCAUUUGAAACUUCUAAUCUAGAGUAUGGGAGGGGGAGAUGGAAUUAGUGGUGUAGGGGUAAAAUCCGUAGAUAUCACUAAGAAUACCGAAAGCGAAGGCGAUCUCCUGGAACAUAACUGACGCUAAGGCGUGAAAGCGUGGGGAGCAAACGGGAUUAGAUACCCUAGUAGUCC
rnacentral:rRNA from 1 species